CCUACGGGUGACAGCAGUGGGGAAUAUUGCACAAUGGGGGAAACCCUGAUGCAGCGACGCCGCGUGCGUGAGGAAGUAUUUCGGUAUGUAAAGCUCUAUCAGCAGGGAAGAAAAUGUCGGUAACUGACUAAUAAGCCACGGCUAAUUACGUGUCAGCAGCCGCGGUAAUACGUAGGGGGAAAGCGCUAUCCGGUAUUACUGGGUGAAAAGGGAGCGGAGACGGUUUAGCAAGUCAGAAAGGUAAACCCAGGGCUCAAACUUGGGACUGCUUUUGAAACUGAGUAGCUAGAGUGCAGGAGAGGUAAGCGGAAUUCCUAGUGUAGCGGUGAAAUGCGUAGAUAUAAGGAAGAACACCAGUGGCGAAGGCAGCUUACUGGAUUGAAACUGACGUUGAGGCACGAAAGCGUGGGGAGCAAACAGGAUUAGAUACCCCUGUAGUC
rnacentral:rRNA from 1 species